UUCCGGUUGAUCCUGCCGGACCUGACUGCUAUCGGAUUGAUACUAAGCCAUGCGAGUCUUUGUAGUAAUACAAGGCAUACGGCUCAGUAACGCGUAGUCAACCUACCCUAUGGACAAGAAUAAUCUCGGGACACUGAGCAUAAUUCUUGAUAGAUCAUAAUGCCUGGAAUGGUUUAUGGUUAAAAUGAUUCGUCGCCAUAGGAUGGGACUGCGGCCUAUCAGCUUGUUGGUGAGGUAAUGGCCCACCAAGGCGAUUACAGGUACGGGCUCUGAGAGGAGAAGCCCGGAGAUGGGUACUGAGACAAGGACCCAGGCCCUAUGGGGCGCAGCAGGCGAGAAAACUUUGCAAUGUGCGAAAGCACGACAAGGUUAGUCCGAGUGAUUUCUGCUAAAGAGAUCUUUUGCUAGUUAUAAAACCACUAGUGAAUAAGGGGUGGGCAAGUUCUGGUGUCAGCCGCCGCGGUAAAACCAGCACCUCAAGUGGUCAGGAUGAUUAUUGGGCCUAAAGCAUCCGUAGCCGGCUCUGUAAGUUUUCGGUUAAAUCUAUGCGCUCAACGUAUGGGCUGCCGAAAAUACUGCAGAGAUAGGGAGUGGGAGAGGUAGACGGUACUCGGUAGGAAGGGGUAAAAUCCUUUGAUCUAUCGAUGACCACCUGUGGCGAAGGCGGUCUACCAGAACACGUUCGACGGUGAGGGAUGAAAGCUGGGGGAGCAAACCGGAUUAGAUACCCGGGUAGUCCCAGCUGUAAACGAUGCAGACUCGAUGAUGCAUUGGCAUAUAGCCAGUGCAGUGUCGCAGGGAAGCCGUUAAGUCUGCCGCCUGGGAAGUACGUACGCAAGUAUGAAACUUAAAGGAAUUGGCGGGGGAGCACCACAAGGGGUGAAGCCUGCGGUUCAAUUGGAUUCAACGCCGG
rnacentral:rRNA from 1 species